AGGGCGUACGGUGGAUGCCUAGGCUCUUGCAGGCGAAGAAGGACGUGAUAAGCUGCGAAAAGCCCCGGGGAGGUGCAAAUGACCUUUGAUCCGAGGAUAUCCGAAUGGGACAACCCGGCAGGCUGAAGGCCUGUCAUGCCGCGAAUGCGGCAGGCGAACGCGGGGAACUGAAACAUCUUAGUACCCGCAGGAAGAGAAAAUAACAAUGAUUCCCCAAGUAGUGGCGAGCGAACGGGGAAGAGCCCAAACCAUGCGUGUUCCGGCACGCAUGGGGUUGUAGGACCGCGACAUCGCAAGAAACAUGGUGAGUGGAAAAGGUUGGAACACCUUGCCAUAGCGGGCGAACGCCCCGUACACGAAGCCAUGCGAAGCGUAGCGGCACCCUGAGUAGCGCGGGACACGAGAAAUCCUGUGUGAAUCCGGCGGGACCAUCCGCCAAGGCUAAAUACUCGCAAGAGACCGAUAGCGAACCAGUACCGUGAGGGAAAGGUGAAAAGCACCGCGAACAGCGGAGUGAAAAAGUUCCUGAAACCGUACGCCUACAAGCGGUCGGAGCGCCUUCGUGGCGUGACGGCGUGCCUUUUGCAUAAUGAACCUACGAGUUGCCGUCGCCGGCGAGGUUAAGUGCUAUGAAGCACGGAACCGAAGCGAAAGCGAGUCCCAACGAGGCGCCGAGUCAGCGGCGGCAGACGCGAAACCGAGUGAUCUACCCUUGUCCAGGUUGAAGUCCGGGUAACACCGGAUGGAGGACCGCACCAAUAAGCGUUGAAAAGCUUCUGGAUGAGGUGAGGGUAGGAGUGAAAGGCCAAUCAAACUCGGAGAUAGCUCGUACUCCCCGAAAUGCAUUUAGGUGCAGCCUCGGGAGUUCCCCGCGUGAGGUAGAGCGACUGAUCGGAUGCGAGGGCUUCACCGCCUAUCAAGUCCGGACAAACUCCGAAUGCGCGCGGGCCAAUCCCGGGAGUGAGGGCAUGGGUGCUAAGGUCCGUGCCCGAGAGGAGAAGAAUCCAGACCGCCGGCUAAGGCCCCGAAAUAUGGGUUAAGUUAAACUAACGAAGUGCGGUCCCGGUGACAGCUAGGAUGUUGGCUUGGAAGCAGCCAUUCAUUCAAAGAGUGCGUAACAGCUCACUAGUCGAGGGACUGUGCAUGGAUAAUAAUCGGGUAUGAAACCCAUUGCCGAAGCCGCGGGACACUUUAUGUGUCGGUAGGGGAGCAUUCCAGCCGCGCCGAAGCCGUGAGGACGACUCACGGUGGAGCAUCUGGAAAAGCAAAUGUAGGUAUAAGUAACGAUAAAGAGUGUGAGAUGCACUCUCGCCGUAAGACUAAGGUUUCCCGGGCAACGUUAAUCGGCCCGGGGUCAGUCGGGACCUAAGGAUAAGCCGAAAGGCGAGGCCGAUGGCAGAAAGGGUUAAUAUUCCCUUACUACCUUUAUGGGCGAUGCGGAGACGGAGAAGUGAAACUCCCGCGCGCUGACGGAAUAGCGCGUUAAAGGGUGUAGGCGCUGAUCGCGGCAGGCAAAUCCACCGCGAGAGCCGAACCUGACAGUACACAAAGCCUUCGGGCGGCGUGACAGCGGAGGUAAGCAAGCUCCCGAGAAAAUCCGCUAAGCUCAACCAUAAAGGUACCCGUACCGCAAACGGACACACGUAGUCGGGUAGAAUAUACCAAGGCGCUUGGAAGAUUCACGGUUAAGGAACUAGGCAAAUUGACCCCGUAACUUCGGAAUAAGGGGUCCUCACGCGAGUGAGGCGCAGAGAAUAGGUCCAGGCAACUGUUUAACAAAAACACAGGGCUGUGCGAAAUCGAAAGAUGAUGUAUACAGUCUGACACCUGCCCGGUGCCGGAAGGUUAAGAGGAGAUGUCACCGCAAGGGAAGCAUCGAAUUGAAGCCCCGGUAAACGGCGGCCGUAACUAUAACGGUCCUAAGGUAGCGAAAUUCCUUGUCGGGUAAGUUCCGACCUGCACGAAUGGUGUAAUGAUCUGGACGCUGUCUCAACCGUGAGCUCAGUGAAAUUGUAGUAUCGGUGAAGAUGCCGAUUACCCGCGAUGGGACGAAAAGACCCCGUGAACCUUUACUGCAGCUUAACGUUGUGACCGGGCAGCGGAUGUGUAGGAUAGGCCGGAGGCUAUGAAGGGGGCACGCCAGUGUUCUUGGAGCCGCCGUUGAAAUACGGCCCUUCCUCUGUCUGGUUCCUAACCCGCUUGAUGCGGGGACACCGUUUGGCGGGCAGUUUGACUGGGGUGGUCGCCUCCAAAAGCGUAACGGAGGCUUCUAAAGGUGC
rnacentral:rRNA from 1 species